rnacentral:rRNA from 1 species
GUAGGGAAUAUUGGGCAAUGGAGGCAACUCUGACCCAGCCAUGCCGCGUGCAGGAUGACGGCCCUCUGGGUUGUAAACUGCUUUUAUACGGGAAGAAAAAAUACUACGUGUAGUAUACUGACGGUACCGUAAGAAUAAGGAUCGGCUAACUCCGUGCCAGCAGCCGCGGUAAUACGGAGGAUCCAAGCGUUGUCCGGAUUUAUUGGGUUUAAAGGGUGCGUAGGCGGAUCUUUAAGUCAGUGGUGAAAGCCUGCAGCUUAACUGUAGAAUAGCCAUUGAAACUGAAGCUCUUGAAUGUCGUUAAAGUAGGCAGAAUGUAUCAUGUAGCGGUGAAAUGCUUAGAUAUGAUACAGAACACCGAUAGCGAAGGCAGCUUGCUGAUCCAUUAUUGACGCUGAGGCACGAAAGCGUGGGGAGCGAACAGGAUUAGCAACCCGGGUAGUCC